GACGUAGGGCGCGAGCGUUGUCCGGAUUUAUUGGGCGUAAAGAGCUCGUAGGCGGCUUGUCGCGUCGAAUGUGAAAUUUUAGGGCUCAACCCUGACAUUGCAUUCGAUACGGGCAGGCUUGAGUUCGGUAGGGGAGACUGGAAUUCCUGGUGUAGCGGUGAAAUGCGCAGAUAUCGGGAGGAACACCAAUGGCGAAGGCAGCUCGCUGGGACGGUACUGACGCUGAGACGCGAAAGCGUGGGGAGCAAACAGG
rnacentral:rRNA from 1 species